GGAGGUGUGGACGGAAUCCAUUAAACAUCUUUCCCCAGCAAAGCAGACUAAAAAACCCUCUGGGCAGCAACAAUAAAGAUGUCUGGCCUGUGCUGGGCGGUUGUGACGCUGACAUUGCUCCUGUCCAGUGGAAACAGUUUUGCUGGAAUGACCAAAGAGCAGCUGGCCAAGUAUGUAGAGUUCUUCAUGCAAAGGUAUAACAUAAAAUCCCAGGUCAGUGUGGCUGUAAACAUCCCAAAUACAAUGAUCGAGGGCCCCCUAGAAAAGGUCUUUGAGAAAGCCACUCCUGAGGAAGUGAGGAACCAGUUAAAUAAUUCAGUGUACCCAGUUUCGAACAAUGACACCAUGGUUGUUGUUGCAAAACCCAAAUUUCCCGACGAGAAAAUUACUUAUACCGUUCAUGCGGAGAGACGUGUUUUGGAAAAAAUAGAAACAUUAUUUAGAAGCGGAAAAGAUUAUUUUCUACUCUUCUACUCCUUUAAUUCCCCAUGUGGUUCAAAAUGUACAAACCUGACAAAUCAGUACAAUAUCAUAAGCAUGAUUAAUGAAAUUCUUCCCAAAUGGAAGCAGUUUGCCUUUGUGUUUUUCAAAGUGUUUGACAAGACCAGUAAAAAUGUUACCAUCGAAAAGGCCUACUCAGAGGAGGCCCUCAAACAGCUGGGGAAUUCUAAGAUUGGUCACGACAACAUAUUCCGUUGUUACAAACCAAACAAUCAGCUUUUCCAAUGCAUCAGCUGCUUCAGCGGUAAGGACCCUGUAGAAAAGUGUCUUGUUAACGAAUCCUGAAGAUUGAUAAUGAAACUUGUCUGAGAUGAGGUCAUCUCCGGACACCACACGGUAAAACGGAUUCUGGAACGUUUUUACUUAAAUAUUAAAUAUGAAUAUUUCUUUUCAUACAACCAGCUUAUUUCUAUUACUCUGUGCUGUGUUUCCUCACUGUGAUUACUUCCUUCGGGUAUUAACUGCAUAGCUACAGCUCACUGAAAAACGUUAAAGUUUCUUAUAUGUUUUCUUUGGUCCAGUCCAGCAACGUUCAUCUCAAUUGUUCUUGUUUAGAGUUUGCAGGUAGCUUCAUGUAACUGGUUUAAAUCAUAUUAUGGGUGUUUUGUCUGCUCUUCCCAAAUAAACUGAACGAAGAAUGAAAUACGUAACUGCAUUGAAAAGAGUAUUGCUAAUAUGAAUCACAAAGAUUCACUAUAGAUUUAGUGGUAAACCAGCUGAGCAGCUCGCUCUGAAACUAAAAUACAGCUAUUUGGUUUGUUUAGUCUGCAGAUCUAGGCCUUGGUAUAUUUGUUUUAAAUGCCGAGCUGACCCCAACGACAUUAUGCCUUACGCAAUCACCCGAAUAAAACAGUUAUGUGAUGAGGAAGUAUGUACUCAAGGUUAAGAGAUGAAAAUAUGUAUUUACAUCACCGCAUUGUUCCCUAUACUUCUGUGG